rnacentral:rRNA from 1 species
UACGUAGGCAGCAAGCGUUGUUCGGAGUUACUGGGCGUAAAGGGUGCGUAGGCGGCUUCUUAAGUCUGGUGUGAAAUCUCCCGGCUCAACUGGGAGGGUGCGCCGGAUCACUGAGGGGCUAGAGUGUGGGAGAGGAAAGUGGAAUUCCUGGUGUAGCGGUGAAAUGCGUAGAUAUCAGGAGGAACACCGGUGGUGUAAACGGCUUUCUGGACCAUAACUGACGCUGAGGCACGAAAGCGUGGGUAGCAAACAGG